rnacentral:tRNA from 1 species
UAAUAAGAAGCAAAAUAUUGCAUUUAGUUUCGACCUAAAAUUUUGAUUUAAAAUCCUUAUUUU